UACGUAGGGGGCAAGCGUUGUCCGGAAUCAUUGGGCGUAAAGCGCGUGUAGGCGGCUGAGCAAGUCCGCUCUGAAAGCCCGAGGCUCAACCUCGGGAGGCGAGUGGAUACUGCUCAGCUCGAGUCCGGAAGAGGAGUGUGGAAUUCCUGGUGUAGCGGUGAAAUGCGCAGAUAUCAGGAGGAACACCAAUUGCGAAGGCAGCACUCUGGGACGUGACUGACGCUGAGACGCGAAAGCGUGGGGAGCAAACAGGAUUAGAUACCCUGGUAGUCCACGCCGUAAACGAUGGGCACUAGGUGUGGGAGGUGUCGACUCCUCCCGUGCCGGAGCUAACGCAUUAAGUGCCCCGCCUGGGGAGUACGGCCGCAAGGCUAAA
rnacentral:rRNA from 1 species